AAUACCGCAUAACAGUAGAUGUUGCAUGACAUUUGCUUAAAAGGUGCAAUUGCAUCACUACCAGAUGGACCUGCGUUGUAUUAGCUAGUUGGUGGGGUAACGGCUCACCAAGGCGACGAUACAUAGCCGACCUGAGAGGGUGAUCGGCCACACUGGGACUGAGACACGGCCCAGACUCCUACGGGAGGCAGCAGUAGGGAAUCUUCGGCA
rnacentral:rRNA from 1 species